rnacentral:rRNA from 1 species
ACGAGUGGCGGACGGGUGAGUAAUGUCUGGGAAACUGCCUGAUGGAGGGGGAUAACUACUGGAAACGGUAGCUAAUACCGCAUAACGUCGCAAGACCAAAGAGGGGGACCUUCGGGCCUCUUGCCAUCGGAUGUGCCCAGAUGGGAUUAACUAGUAGGUGGGGUAACGGCUCACCUAGGCGACGAUCCCUAGCUGGUCUGAGAGGAUGACCAGCCACACUGGAACUGAGACACGGUCCAGACUCCUACGGGAGGCAGCAUG